rfam:Felis catus isolate Cinnamon breed Abyssinian chromosome B2, whole genome shotgun sequence.
CCAAAGGCUCUUUUCAGAGCCACCGCUCUUUUCAAUUUAAAGAGCUG